GAUGAACGCUAGCUACAGGCUUAACACAUGCGAGUCGCGGGGCAGCAUGGGGGUUGCUUGCAAUCCCUGAUGGCGACCGGCGCACGGGUGAGUAACGCGUAUCCAACCUGCCCUUCACCACGGGAUAACCCGGCGAAAGUCGGACUAAUACCGUAUGUUGUCCAUUGACGGCCUCCGAUUUGGACGAAAGGCUUAGCGGUGAGGGAUGGGGAUGCGUCCGAUUAGCUUGACGGCGGGGUAACGGCCCACCGUGGCUACGAUCGGUAGGGGUUCUGAGAGGAAGGUCCCCCACACUGGAACUGAGACACGGUCCAGACUCCUACGGGAGGCAGCAGUGAGGAAUAUUGGUCAAUGGGCGUAAGCCUGAACCAGCCAAGUAGCGUGCAGGAUGACGGCCCUAUGGGUUGUAAACUGCUUUUAUGCGGGGAUAAAGGGACCCACGUGUGGGUUUUUGCAGGUACCGCAUGAAUAAGGACCGGCUAAUUCCGUG
rnacentral:rRNA from 1 species